rnacentral:rRNA from 1 species
CAGCCGCCGCGGUAAUACGGAGGGGGCUAGCGUUGUUCGGAAUUACUGGGCGUAAAGCGCACGUAGGCGGCUUGGUAAGUUAGAGGUGAAAGCCUGGAGCUCAACUCCAGAAUUGCCUUUAAGACUGCCGAGCUAGCAGGUGAGAGAGGUAAGUGGAAUUCCGAGUGUAGAGGUGAAAUUCGUAGAUAUUCGGAAGAACGCCAGUGGCGAAGGCGGCUUACUGGCUCAUACUGGACGCUGAGGUGCGAAAGCGUGGGGAGCAAACAGGAUUAGAUACCCGCGUAGUCCCUGUCUCUUAUAC